GAUGAACGCUGGCGGGCGUGCUUAACACAUUCAAGUCGAACGGUGAAGUGACUUCGGUCAUGGAUCAGUGGCGGACGGGUGAGUAACGCGUGAGCAACCUGCCUCUGUUUGUGGGAUAACGUUUGGAAACGAACGCUAAUACCGCAUAAUGUAUCUUGAUCGCAUGUUUGGGAUACCAAAGAUUUAUUGAACAGAGAUGGGCUCGCGUCCGAUUAGAUAGUUGGUGAGGUAACGGCUCACCAAGUCGACGAUCGGUAGCCGGACUGAGAGGUCGAACGGCCACAUUGGAACUGAGAAACGGUCCAG
rnacentral:rRNA from 1 species